UAUUGAUCAUUUUUAGAAAUAUGACAUGACAGCUGGUAAUACUGACUGUGCUAAAAGCUGUUUGGAUUACGUGUAUCUAGAUGUGGAGAAUGGAGCUUUUACAGGUUAAACCUCUCGUACAUAUGGGAAGGAACACUGGAGACUAUUCCUAGCUAUAUGACAAUAGAUCAGGUGACCAGUCCAUCGAGGUCAUUUACCUAGUGAAAGGUUUCAGGUUAAGACCACAGCGUCAGUCAGUUGCUAAACGUAGACAGCUGCUAUAGCAACACCAGGUGCUCAUAUUCAGGAAAGAGGUUUCAAUG
rnacentral:lncRNA from 1 species